UCAGUGCGUUGGGGUUUGAGAGCCGGGCCAGAGAGGCAGUGUGCGCCCAGGCGCUCAGCCUGAAGCAGCAGCAGGAGCAGCAGGCGCGGAGCAGCCGCCGGAGGGGGCUGCUCCUGCGUGGAUGUACCCAGACGGGGACCUGGCUUAGCAGGUUUUUAUUCCCGGGACCUUCGGACAGCUGGGAAAUCCAUCAAAAGCCUACCUUUGUGGGCAUUUAAGUGCUGGUUCCCCCUUCACCCCCCUCUUCAGAGAUAUGGUUCGCAAAAAGGAAUCGCUAAAAGUCUUCAGUCACUGAAAAAUACGCUUGCACAGUACAUUUCCGGCUGUUUAUGCCGCAGUCCUUUCUAUAGGAGUCUCUAUUUCCUCUUACAAUACAGUAUAUUCAGCCUAUAAUAGAAUAUUCGUAAAAAUGCAAAAUGAAGUAAAUAUUCUCUAUUAUUUAUAUAAUUUAUAACCUUUGUGAUUGCAUAGACACCUCUUAACUUGUUUCCACAUUUUUGGUCCUAAUUUGUUCUGUGCAUUAAAGGAAGGGGGAUUUUUGUGUAAGGUAUGGGAAUAUUUUAUUAUUAUUAUUAUUAUUGAAUGUUGAGAACUUUGGAAAUAAAUUGAUUGAAGCUGAUUUCCCUCUAAUAAAUAUACUUCUAACGAAAAAGGACAGAGA